AACGAACGCUGGCGGCAGGCCUAACACAUGCAAGUCGAACGAGAAGCCGCCUUCGGGUGGUGGACAGUGGCAGACGGGUGAGUAACGCGUGGGAACGUGCCUUUCGGUUCGGGAUAACCCAGGGAAACUUGGGCUAAUACCGGAUACGCCCUUCGGGGGAAAGAUUCAUUGCCGAAAGAUCGGCCCGCGUCGGAUUAGCUAGUUGGUAGGGUAAUGGCCUACCAAGGCGACGAUCCGUAGCUGGUCUGAGAGGAUGACCAGCCACACUGGGACUGAGACACGGCCCAGACUCCUACGGGAGGCAGCAGUGGGGAAUAUUGGACAAUGGGCGAAAGCCUGAUCCAGCCAUGCCGCGUGGGUGAAGAAGGCCUUAGGGUUGUAAACCCAUUUCAGCGGGGAAGAUAAUGACGGUACCCGCAGAAGAAGUCCCGGCUAACUCCGUGCCAGCAGCCGCAGUAA
rnacentral:rRNA from 1 species